GUUUGUUUUGGCUGUCGCCAUCGCGCGGCCGUCCUAAAAUCGUAAGGUCUCUAAUGGCGUCUCUUGGACCACGCAUUUGGCUUUGUGAAUUGGUUGAUUAAUAAGAAAUGCUGAACAAAGUCGCACUCAUUGUGACUCGCCAGACUUUUAUUGUCGUAGAUUAGAAGAGUAUGAACGCAUAUUGAGUGUUUUAACAAUAUCAAGAAUCACCGAAUCAUACACACAUUAUUUAUACACAGACGCAUUAUUUGGUACAGACGAAUUCUGAGUACGUGGUAUUCGGAAACGAGAAUUGAGCCUCAGAAUUCAGUUCUUCGGGUAACGAUGUGAACUUCUGCACUGAACCACCUUGUGAUACUGUGUUUUCUUCACGUGUUUGCGAAGAAUGCUGUAUUUGGUCACCGCGCUUAAGAUUGACUGAACAAAAUCCUGAACAUUUGGUACUCUGCCCUGUCUCUCUUCUGGCGCCACUUGGCACGCGCGAUUUUGCCGAGUCGCUCUACUUCCGUUUUUCCAACCACUUCCGCUUUCUCAUCUUUUAGUUGUAUUUACUUCCGUUUCCUCAUCUUUUGGUUGUAUCGGUUUAUCUUUUGGUUGUAUCGGUUUAUCUUUUAGUUGUAUCGGUUUAUCUUUUAGUUGUAUCGGCUUAUGACAUUGAUGCAUUUGUACAUAACAUCAAUGUAUAGCACAUAACAUUAAUUUAUAGGCGCAUAAACUCGAUUGAUACAUUUCAGAGUCCGCUAAAAAACUUCAUAUAUAAAUCUCAGAGAACAUGAUGUAAACAAAAUACAGAAAUAAUACGAACGUAUUAAAAUGCUUUACUUGGUGUAGGUUAUUUGUUUGUUCCGCUAUAAAAAGAUUUUCUGCGCUGGAGAAGAGCUGCCAUCGAGGCAUAACUUGAGUUGACGGUAUGACAUGUUCACUCUAUUACAGUUUUAAUAAUUUUUGUAAAAUAAGGUUUUAAAUUUUUGUAAUU